rnacentral:rRNA from 1 species
AUUGAACGCUGGCGGCAGGCCUAACACAUGCAAGUCGAACGGUAACAGGAAACAGCUUGCUGUUUCGCUGACGAGUGGCGGACGGGUGAGUCAUGUCUGGGAAACUGCCUGAUGGAGGGGGAUAACUACUGGAAACGGUAGCUAAUACCGCAUAACGUCGCAAGCCCAAAGGGGGGGACCUUCGGGCCUCUUGCCAUCGGAUGUGCCCAGAUGGGAUUCGCUAGUAGGUGGGGUAACGGCUCACCUAGGCGACGAUCCCUAGCUGGUCUGAGAGGAUGACCAGCCACACGGGAACUGAGACACGGUCCAGACUCCUACGGGAGGCAGCAGUGGGGAAUAUUGCACAAUGGGCGCAAGCCUGAUGCAGCCAUGCCGGGUGUAUGAAGAAGGCCUUCGGGUUGUAAAGUACUUUCAGCGGGGAGGAAGGGAGUAAAGUUAAUACCUUUACUCAUUGACGUUACCCGCAGAAGAAGCACCGGCUAACUCCGUG